rnacentral:snRNA from 1 species
GUUCUCACUUCAGUAGCACGUUGAACUAAAACUGGAAUUGUACAGAGAAGAUUAACAUGUUCCCUGCACAAGGAUGCACAUACAAAGGGGUAAGAGUUAUUGGUUUUA